GAUAUACUCCCUCCGUCCGAAAAUACUUGUCAUCAAAAUGGAUAAAAAGAGAUGUAUCUAAAACUAAAAUACAUCUAGAUACAUCCCCUUUUAUCCAUUUUAAUGACAUGUAUUUCGGGACGGAGGGAGUAUGAU
rfam:Triticum aestivum genome assembly, contig: Triticum_aestivum_CS42_TGACv1_scaffold_328544_4BS